GCCUCAAUCAGAAAUGGGCCCGACUCGUACUAAGUAAUAGGUAGCAGCCAAUCACUGCCCCAAAGUGUUUACAGUGUAAUUUGAGAUGAGGUGCAGCAACUGAGAGCACUAAGAAGUCGACUUGAUUUCACAAAGGAAGAAAAAAAGGCUGAGAAACAAAUACGUUUGUUUGACUCGGAGUAACACUCAAAAAUGGUAUCAUUUCAAAGACCUUGGAGAAGUAUCUGGAGAGCAAGUCUAAGGUGUCUGAUCCUUUACACAUUAGUAAUGUUCCUAGGUAAAAGGAUUGAGAAAUAGAAAGGUACUUCACCAAUGGGGUUUGUAGCAUGAAGGCGUGAGACUGGUUCAACGUACAUUACUGCAUGAAACAGAGGCCAGGAAAAGCAAGUAGAAGGAUGGGGAAAAAAAUGUUGUAAUCUUGAAACUCUCUUGGGACAGGAAAAAUCUUCUCCCGCAGCAAUAACCACAACUCAGCUUGUUCAGCAUAUGAAAUGGAAAGAUGCCUGUUCCCUCCUUCUGCAAAAUAUUAAUAGGAUUAUUACCCUCACAUUGUUAAUUCUGCUUGAUUGUCCUUGUGCACAUGUGUUUAUGUUCGGUAGACGAAGGAGAACAGAAAGUCAGCAACUCAAAGUGAUAAAGCAAGAUAGCAACUCAAGG